rnacentral:rRNA from 1 species
UAGGGAAUCUUCCGCAAUGGGCGAAAGCCUGAUGGAGCAACGCCGCGUGUGUGAUGAAGGGUUUCGGCUCGUAAAACACUGUUGUAAGAGAAGAAUGACAUUGAGAGUAACUGUUCAAUGUGUGACGGUAUCUUACCAGAAAGGAACGGCUAAAUACGUGCCUG